ACUCCUACGGGAGGCAGCAGUGGGGAAUUUUGGACAAUGGGCGAAAGCCUGAUCCAGCAAUGCCGCGUGAGUGAAGAAGGCCUUCGGGUUGUAAAGCUCUUUUGUCAGGGAAGAAACGGUGAAGGCUAAUAUCCUUUGCUAUUGACGGUACCUGAAGAAUAAGCACCGGCUAACUACGUGCCAGCAGCCGCGGUAAUA
rnacentral:rRNA from 1 species